GACGAACGCUGGCGGCGUGGAUUAGGCAUGCAAGUCGAACGGUAUCAUCCUUUCGGGGGUGAGAGAGUGGCGAACUGGUGAGUAACACGUAGGUUAUCUACCCUCAAGACGGGGACAACCCAGGGAAACUUGGGCUAAUACCGGAUGUGAGCAACUUUUUAGUUGUUUGAAAGGUGGCGUAAGCUGUCGCUUGGGGAUGAGCCUGCGUCCUAUUAGUUAGUUGGUGAGGUAACGGCUCACCUAGGCAAUGAUAGGUAGGCGGCCUUAACGGGUGGUCGCCCACACUGGGAUUGAGAUACGGCCCAGACUCCUACGGGAGGCAGCAGUCGAGAAUAGUCUACAAUGGUCGGAAGACUGAUAGUGCGACGCCGCGUGAACGAUGAAUCCCUUCGGGGUGUAAAGUUCUUUUAUAUGUGAGCAGUGCUUCUUAUAUUAACAGUAUGGGGAAGAGAUAUUAGCAUAUGAAUAAGCAACGGCUAACUCCGUGCCAGCAGCCGGUAAGCU
rnacentral:rRNA from 1 species